AUACAACUGACGAGUCUCAAAUAGGACAAAACGCACGUCCUAGAU
rnacentral:hammerhead_ribozyme from 1 species